AGAGUAGACGCAGGCGGUUGCAGAUCAGUCAUAGUUACUGAUUUGAGGAAAGUCCGGGCUCCCGAAAGACCAAACUUGCUGGAUAACGUCCAGUGCGAGCGAUCGUGAGGAUAGUGCCACAGAAAGAUACCGCCAGAUCAAUUAAAAAUUAAAAAUUAAAAAUGUAAAAUGAACAAUUUUUAAUUUUUAAUUUUACAUUUUUAAUUGAUCUGGUAAGGGUGCAAAGGUGCGGUAAGAGCGCACCAGCAGUAUCGAGAGGUGCUGGCUCGGUAAACCCCGGUUGGGAGCAAGGCGAUAGGAACUACGGUUGGUCUUUUACCAGUUCCGCUCAAUGAGAGCCGCUAGAGGCGUUUGGUAACAAGCGUCCCAGAUAGAUAACUGCCCUCGCAAGAGAACAGAACCCGGCUUAUGUACUGCUCUUUCC
rnacentral:RNase_P_RNA from 1 species